rnacentral:misc_RNA from 1 species
UAACCGUAGGUGAACCUGCGGAAGGAUCAUUCAUAAUAAAGUGUUUUAUGGCACUUUUUAAAAAUCCAUAUCCACCUUGUGUGCAAUGUUAGAUCUCGUCAAUCUUGGCGAGGUUUUUAUACAUCAACUCAUUCUUUAACUAAUUUGUCUGAAAAAUAUUAUGAAUAACUUAAUUCAAAAUACAACUUUCAACAACGGAUCUCUUGGCUCUC